rnacentral:rRNA from 1 species
UCGACAAUAAUGGGGAAAGGAUAUUGCUCGAGAGGAGUCACCCUCCGUUUGAGAAAUAGAUCGAAUUCCUUCCGGUUCGUAAACCCUCGUGUUUGUGAAGUAAAACACACAAGUGCUCUAGUUGAAUAUGGCUGGCCACCAUGACUGGUACCCUCACCCAAAAUGUCCUCGGCUAAGUAACGUGCCAGCAGUCUGCGGUAAUACCGUAAGAUGUCAAGCGCUUAUCCAGGAAUUUAUUCGGGCGUUAAAGCGCGUCGACAGUCGUUUUCCUCAACGUCUGAUGUGAAAGCCCACCGCCUCAACUGUGGGAUGCUCACUGGGAAACCUGUGAGACCUCGAGGUGCAGAAAGAGGAAAAGUGGAAAUUCCCAUGCUGUAGCCGGUGAAAUGCGUAGAGAUAUGUAGCAACCACCCUGUUGUCGAGGCGUGACUUUCUGGUCUGUAAUCUGACAUUGAAGGCUGCGAAAGCGUGGGGGAGCAACACAGGAUUAGAUACCCCUGGUAGUGCACGCUUGUAACACGAUGAGUGCUAAGUGUUAGAGGGUCUUCGCCCCUUUAGUGCUGAAGUUACCGCAUUAAGCACUCCGCCUGGGGAGUACGGCCGCAAGGCUGAAACUCAAAGGAAUUGACGGGGGCCCGCACAAGCGGUGGAGCAUGUGGUUUAAUUCGAAGCAACGCGAAGAACCUUACCAGGUCUUGACAUCCUCUGAAAACCCUAGAGAUAGGCCUUCUCCUUCGGGAGCAGAGUGACAGGUGGUGCAUGGUUGUCGUCAGCUCGUGUCGUGAGAUGUUGGGUUAAGUCCCGCAACGAGCGCAACCCUUGAUCUUAGUUGCCAUCAUUAAGUUGGGCACUCUAAGGUGACUGCCCGUGACAAACCGGAGGAAGGUGGGGACGACGUCAAAUCAUCAUGCCCCUUAUGACCUGGGCUACACACGUGCUACAAUGGACGGUACAAAGAGCUGCAAGACCGCGAGGUGGAGCUAAUCUCAUAAAACCGUUCUCAGUUCGGAUUGUAGGCUGCAACUCCCCUACAUGAAGCUGGAAUCGCUAGUAAUCGCGGAUCAGCAUGCCGCGGUGAAUACGUUCCCGGGCCUUGUACACACCGCCCGUCACACCACGAGAGUUUGUAACACCCGAAGUCGGUGGGGUAACCUUUUUGGAGCCAGCCGCCUAAGGUGGCACAGAUGAUUGGGGCUAAGUCGAACAGUGAGACGACC